CGAACGGUAACAGGAAGCAGCUUGCUUUUUUUGCUGACGAGUGGCGGACGGGUGAGUAAUGUCUGGGAAACUGCCUGAUGGAGGGGGAUAACUACUGGAAACGGUAGCUAAUACCGCAUAACGUCGCAAGACCAAAGAGGGGGACCUUCGGGCCUCUUGCCAUCGGAUGUGCCCAGAUGGGAUUAGCUAGUAGGUGGGGUAACGGCUCACCUAGGCGACGAUCCCUAGCUGGUCUGAGAGGAUGACCAGCCACACUGGAACUGAGACACGGUCCAGACUCCUACGGGAGGCAGCAGUGGGGAAUAUUGCACAAUGGGCGCAAGCCUGAUGCAGCCAUGCCGCGUGUAUGAAGAAGGCCUUCGGGUUGUAAAGUACUUUCAGCGGGGAGGAAGGGAGUAAAGUUAAUACCUUUGCUCAUUGACGUUACCCGCAGAAGAAGCACCGGCUAACUCCGUGCCAGCAGCCGCGGUAAUACGGAGGGUGCAAGCGUUAAUCGGAAUUACUGGGCGUAAAGCGCACGCAGGCGGUUUGUUAAGUCAGAUGUGAAAUCCCCGGGCUCAACCUGGGAACUGCAUCUGAUACUGGCAAGCUUGAGUCUCGUAGAGGGGGGUAGAAUUCCAGGUGUAGCGGUGAAAUGCG
rnacentral:rRNA from 1 species